GCUGUCAAAGCUGCUACUAAUCACUCAAACUACUCACUAAUAUGAACAAAUAACAUGAAUGUAACUGCAUCUUACACUGGUACCAGUAGGCUCAUGAUGGAGCAUGGGGUGGCAGAUAAAUGUUCCACUCCAGAAGCAGACCUGAUCUGGAUGGGGAGUAAGAUACUACAGCCACUGAAAGGAUGCAACUUACUUCCUGUAACAGAGUGGCUGGCCCAUGGUCUGGAGAGCAUGGGGCUAAGUCAUCCCUAGUUACAAGAUGAGUCCCACCUGAGAGGCAUCAGGUGAUUCCAAUAUAAAAAACUGCAGGAAGCUGCAGGGCGGGGUGUGGAGGAAAGAGUAAAUGAGACUACAGGAGUCAGGCAGUGAGCUGGGGAUGCUCAGGAUACAGACUGUGUGGAGCUGGUGGAAGAAGCAGCUAUGAGGAGCAAGUCUGGCUCCUGCAGAAUGAAGCCUGUGAGUGGGAAUACAAGAAGGAAAGAUAAGCUGAAAAAUGGUCAGAGGCUCAAAGGAAAACAUGUGACCUGGAAGAUAACUGGUGGACCCUAAUGGCUUGGAGGAAGAAGGACAGACCUUCAUUAUUCUCAAAUUGAGGUUUUAUGUGUAUGCUUCCAGCUCUAAAAGAAUCCCUCCAACCCUCCUUAUCAACACCAUGCAUCUGAGAAGGUGAGAAAGCAGAAGAAAAGAGAACAUAUACAA